GAUGAACGCUGGCGGCGUGCUUAACACAUGCAAGUCGAACGGAACUCCUAUGAACGAGGUUUCGGCCAAGUGAAUAGGAUGUUUAGUGGCGGACGGGUGAGUAACGCGUGAGUAACCUGCCUUGGAGUGGGGAAUAACACAGUGAAAAUUGUGCUAAUACCGCAUAAUGCAUUUGGAUCGCAUGAUUCUGAAUGCCAAAGAUUUAUCGCUCUGAGAUGGACUCGCGUCUGAUUAGCUAGUUGGCGGGGCAAACGGCCCACCAAGGCGACGAUCAGUAGCCGGACUGAGAGGUUGGCCGGCCACAUUGGGACUGAGACACGGCCCAGACUCCUACGGGAGGCAGCAGUGGGGAAAUAUUGGGGCAAAUGGGCGCAAGCCUGACCCAGCAACGCCGCGUUGAAGGAAGAAGGCUUGGU
rnacentral:rRNA from 1 species